AUUGAACGCUGGCGGCAGGCCUAACACAUGCAAGUCGAACGGUAGCACAGUAAGCUUGCUCGGGUGCCGAGUGGCGGACGGGUGCGGAUUGUCUGUGAAACUGCCCGUUGGAUUGGGUUAACUACUGGAUACGGAAGCUAAUACUGCUUACUGUCACAAGCUACAGGAGGAAGCCCUUGGGGUUCCUUCCCUUCGCGAUUGCAUGAGCGCAGUUCGGAUUAGCUAGUUGGUGUGGUAAAGGCUCACCAAGGCGACGAUCCGUAGCUGGUCUGAGAGGAUGACCAGCCACACUGGAACUGAGACACGGUCCAGACUCCUACGGGAGGCAGCAGUGGGGAAUAUUGCACAAAGGGCGCAAGCCUGAUGCAGCCAUGCCGCGUGUAUGAAGAAGGCCUUCGGGUUGUAAAGUACUUUCAGCGGGGAGGAAGGCAAUGCGGUUAAUACCCGGGUGGAUUGACGGUACCCGCAGAAGAAGCACCGGCUAACUCCGUG
rnacentral:rRNA from 1 species